ACAAAGGCCUUCUUCAAGGCCACCAAAACUCCCUCCAUGACAUGA
rfam:Tribolium castaneum strain Georgia GA2 linkage group LG6, whole genome shotgun sequence.